rnacentral:rRNA from 1 species
UACGAAGGGGGCUAGCGUUGUUCGGAAUCAUUGGGCGUAAAGAGCGUGUAGGCGGCCAGAAAAGUCCGCUGUGAAAACUCGAGGCUCAACUUCGAGCUGUCGGUGGAAACUUUCUGGCUAGAGUCCGGAAGAGGAGAAUGGAAUUCCUGGUGUAGCGGUGAAAUGCGCAGAUAUCAGGAAGAACACCCGUGGCGAAGGCGGUUCUCUGGGACGGUACUGACGCUGAGACGCGAAAGCGUGGGGAGCGAACAGG